ACGGUACCUGCAGAAGAAGCACCGGCUAACUACGUGCCAGCAGCCGCGGUGAUACGUAGGGUGCGAGCGUUGUCCGGAAUUAUUGGGCGUAAAGAGCUCGUAGGCGGUCUGUCGCGUCGGAAGUGAAAACUCGGGGCUCAACCCCGAGCCUGCUUUCGAUACGGGCAGACUUGAGGAAUGUAGGGGAGAACGGAAUUCCUGGUGGAGCGGUGGAAUGCGCAGAUAUCAGGAGGAACACCAGUGGCGAAGGCGGUUCUCUGGACAUUAACUGACGCUGAGGAGCGAAAGCGUGGGGAGCAAACAGGCUUAGAUACCCUGGUAGUCCACGCCGUAAACGGUGGGCACUAGGUGUGGGGAACAUUCCACGUUCUCCGUGCCGUAGCUAACGCAUUAAGUGCCCCGCCUGGGGAGUACGGCCGCAAGGCUAAAACUCAAAGGAAUUGACGGGGGCCCGCACAAGCGGCGGAGCAUGUUCAUUAAUUCGAUGCAACGCGAAGAACCUUACCUAGGUUUGACAUAUACCGGAAACAUCUGGAGACAGGUGCCCCGCAAGGUC
rnacentral:rRNA from 1 species